CGGGCUUUGGGCCUUCUGUUCCCGCUCACUGCUGUGAGAGCUGUCCGUGGCCCUCCCUGCAGCAGCCACCAGGGAUCAGUGCCACUGCACCCUUGGGCCAGGCUCUGUUCCCCCACAGCCACCCCCUCGGCAGGGCUGGCCGCAUGCGUUCCCCCCACACUUGGGGUUCCUGGUGAGUCCCCUUGGCAGAUGAACAGUUCCUCGCAGUGGAUUGUCGGUGUCUGGCUACCUGUGUGCUCUGUGUCUCCCCAGGGGACCCCCCCCUGCCCUCUGGCUCCCUGAGCUGCCUCCAUCUCAGUCCUUGGCUGACUUGGGCUCCUCUCUUCUUGGCCCCUGCCCUCCGCCCACCCCCACCUCUCAGACCCACCUUGAGAACACACAGUGAUGGCGCAACAUCCUCCCAGCAUGCACUGGGAAAAUGCUUUUGGUAGCAUGCAUUCUGGGACUUACAAUUCUGGUGGUGGUGGGGGGAGCCCGGAUUCUAGCCCCAGCUCGGCCUCUCACCUGUGUGUUUCACAGGUGGGAAAACUGAGAGACGCUGUGCUGGGUGACUGGCCCAUCCAAGCUGCUUUCAUGAGCUGCAAAGGUUUUUUCCCCUCCUCAAUUUCCAUUAUUAUUUGCAUUAAAUAUUUCUUUAUUUACUUGCAAGGCAGAGUGACUAAGAGAGGGAGAUGCAGAGAAGAGAGAGAUUUUCCAUCUUCUGGGUCACUCCUCAAAUGCCCACAGCAGCGUGUGUGUGUGUGUGUGUGUGUGUAUGGUGGGCAGUGCAGCAGGACCAGGCCAGAGCCAGGAGUCCAGAACUUGACCUGGGUCUUCCAUGUAGGUGGCAGGAACCCAGAUACUUGGGCCAACAUCUGCUGCCUCCCAGGCGUAUUAGCAGGAAGCUGGAUCGGAAGCACUGCGUCAGCCAGAACUUCACCAGGCACUUGGAUAUCAAGUGGCGGCUUAACUGCCACAGUGCCCCCUCCCCCACCCCAAUUUCCAUUAUUUAUUUAUUUAUUUAUUUUUAAAGGCUUAUUUAUUUAUUUGAAAGUCAGAGUUACACAGAGAGAGAAGGAGAGGCAGAGAGAGAGAGAGAGAGAGAGAGCGCUCUUCCAUCCAAUGGUUCACUCCUCAGAUGGCCGCAAUGGCCAGAGCUGUGCCCAUCCGAAGCCAGGAGCCAGGAGCCUCCUCUGGGUCUCAUACACAGGUGCAGGGACCCAAGGACAUGGGACAUCUUCCACUGCUUUCCCAGGCCAUAGUAGAGAGCUGGAUUGGAACUGGAGCAGCCGGGACUCGAACCGGCACCCAUAUGGGAUGCCGGCACUGCAGGCAGCAGCUUUACCUGCUGCGCCACAGUGCUGGCCCCGGUUUCCAUUAUUUUAUGUGACCCGCAUGGGAACUCCUCUCUUCGUGCCUGGGUUGGAUAGACUUAUCUUUAU
rnacentral:lncRNA from 1 species